GGGUAUAUUGCAUUAGAAAGUAUUAUUGGAGAUAUUUAGCAUGUGGUAGUUAUCCAAUAUAUGAUAAAAUAGUUAUAAUAAGGACCAUGCUAGUUUGGUGAUCAAAGAAAUAUUAUACGUAUCCAGGUCCUUAAAGUUGAGUUUUAUUUAUGUUUUAGGCUAUGUAAGGGCUUUCGAUCGUAGAGGAUAAUAACCAUAUUAAGAGAGCUAUUAUG
rnacentral:lncRNA from 1 species